GGCAGAGGUCCCGAGCGUUAGGCGGAAUCACUGGGCUUAAAGCGUGUGUAGGCGGCGGCCUAAGUACCUUGUGAAAUCCCACGGCUCACCCGUGGAACUGCUCGGUAUACUGGGUCGCUUGAGCCACUUAGGGGCUACCGGAACAAAUGGUGGAGCGGUGAAAUGCGUAGAUAUCAUUUGGAACGCCAAUGGUGAAAACAGGUAGCUGGGAGUGUGCUGACGCUGAGACACGAAAGCCAGGGGAGCAAACGGG
rnacentral:rRNA from 1 species